rnacentral:tRNA from 1 species
GCUCCUAUGGCUCAGUGGAGAGAGCGCCGCGCUACGAACGCGGAGAUCCCAGGUUCGAGUCCUGGUAGGAGCG